rnacentral:rRNA from 1 species
GAUGAACGCUGGCGGCGUGCCUAAUACAUGCAAGUCGAGCGAACAGAUGAGGAGCUUGCUUCUCUGAUGUUAGCGGCGGACGGGUGAGUAACACGUGGAUAACCUACCUAUAAGACUGGGAUAACUUCGGAAAACCGGAGCUAAUACCGGAUAAUAUUUUGAACCGCAUGGUUCGAUAGUGAAAGAUGGUUUUGCUAUCACUUAUAGAUGGAUCCGCGCUGCAUUAGCUAGUUGGUAAGGUAACGGCUUACCAAGGCAACGAUGCGUAGCCGACCUGAGAGGGUGAUCGGCCACACUGGAACUGAGACACGGUCCAGACUCCUACGGGAGGCAGCAGUAGGGAAUCUUCCGCAAUGGGCGAAAGCCUGACGGAGCAACGCCGCGUGAGUGAUGAAGGUCUUCGGAUCGUAAAACUCUGUUAUUAGGGAAGAACAUACGUGUAAGUAACUGUGCACAUCUUGACGGUACCUAAUCAGAAAGCCACGGCUAACUACGUG